UGCCCCACCCCCAUCACACACCCGGCCAAUACCUGCAAACCAUGAUCAAUACUACCUACUACUAGCCCUAAACUACCUAUUGUGUGCUGGCUAGCUCACCUGCUUCUCGGUGCCCAUCCCUCCCAGGCUGGACCUUGAUGCUUCUAACUGAUAGUCUUUGGGGUCACCAAGGCUUCACUGACAAGGCAAUGAGGUUCAGGGACCAGGGUAUUGGCUUCUAUUUAAAUUGAAAAAUAAUAUAUUUAUUCCAAAGCAUACCAAGUGCUGUAACCUAGAAUCCCUCUUUCUCUGGCUUUGACACAAGGUCAGGGCCAUUAACCCUACUUCAGGAGGGGAGCAUUCCCGAGCUGGCUGCCAUCCUCUGGAAUAGCUCUGGGUUUUGUUUUUGUGGGACUAAGGAGAUGUUCCCAGACUCACUGUCCUCUCCCCCUUGCUUUUGUGUCCUACUGUUCAGCCAUGUCAAAUAUGUAUACCCUGACUUUUCCUACAAGGACAAAUACUGUAUAUUUGAACCAGAUUUUUUUUGUGUUGUUGUCAUUUCUAUAAUCUUGGAGCUCAUUUGUAAAGGAAUGUCUUGACUUUGGAAGGAUGUUUUAAUGGGGUGACUUUGUAGCAUGGUGUGUUGUAUUGAACUAAUUCUGUAGUGGGUGGGGGAAGUCCAGCACCCACCGGGGCCAUCAUCUCCCUUGUCUCCUCAUGUCCCGUCCCACCCCCCAGCCUGGGGUUCAGAGAAGGCACGCUUCCCAGCCCAGCUACCUGUGUUUUAUGUAACAAUAAAGAUGCUUGGUGACAAAGAAA